rnacentral:rRNA from 1 species
UACGUAGGGCGCAAGCGUUGUCCGGAAUUAUUGGGCGUAAAGAGCUCGUAGGCGGUUUGUCGCGUCUGCUGUGAAAACCUAAGGCUCAACCUUGGGCUUGCAGUGGGGUACGGGGCAGACUAGAGUGCGGUAGGGGGUAACUGGAAUUCCUGGUGUAGCGGUGGAAUGCGCAGAUAUCAGGAGGAACACCGAUGGCGAAGGCAGGUCACUGGGCCGCAACUGACG